rnacentral:lncRNA from 1 species
GUCUCGUAUCAUCGACUUCAAGGGAAUACCCUCCGACAGGGGAAGAGCUUCGGUAGGACACUGUCGUUGGAGGACAAGAGCGCCAUGACUCAAAUUAGUGCCAGAAGAUAAAAAGAAGGAAAAGGAUACAAAAAAAAGAGAGGGGGGGACCCUCCGUAAAGACAAAUCCAGCUUCAUUGAUCAAAUAAAUUUCAAGUACAAGAGAACGAGGAAAAAAUCACCACAAAGGAAAAAUAUAAAACUAGAGGUUUCGGACCUCUGGGGUAGAAGUAGAGGGG